rnacentral:sRNA from 1 species
GCUGGGCACGGUGGUGCAUGUCUGUAAUCCCAGUGGCUCAGGAGGCUGAGGCAAGAGGAUCGCGAGUUGAAAGCCAACCUCAACUUCUCGAGGUCCUAAGCAACUCAGUGAGACCCUGUCUCUA